AGGUCUACAGCUCAGGAAGUCUGGACUGAGCUUUGAGCAACUCUGAGAAGCAGAAGCAGGAGGGACCUGUGGAGCAAAUGGAGAUAAGCAGGGUCUAUGGGAGGUUUCUGGUCUGUUCCCCAGAAACCAAGGACAGACCUUAGGAGCAGAGGACGGGAGCACCUCACUCAGCCAUCAAGAGGACUUGGGGAUACUCUGGAAGGCACAGGGCUGGAGAGUGCUUACUACGUAGUCCAGGCUUACCUUAAACUUGUGCCUCUACCUAAAAGGCUGGAGCUGAGGUCAUCUGCUGAGGCCUAGAAAGUCUCAGAUGAUGCAAGUAGAAAAAGAAAACCCGCCUUCACAUUAAAAACAAAAAUGACAAAAGAAAGUUACAACACCACACUGUUGCUGAACCCAUGGCUGGCAUCGUCAAACUAAACCAAACCAAACCACCAAAUGUUUUAGUCAGGUCACAGGCCACACUUGUGGAACCUGGGACAGUUCAGCUUCUCACCUGAUUCCGCUGCCUCACAACAAAAGUUCUGACAUCACUACAAGACAGCACAUCUUCUUUGUUCUGCAGAAAUCUGCUCAAAAGGCCACAGGCUCUGAACACCUCAGAAUGGAAACAAGGCACCAAGACAAGAACGCAGUGCGACAAAACAGAGCGUAGAAGUCAUGGGACAUCUGGAUCAGAAACAUAAACAGAUAGCUCCAGUCUCUGCUUUCGUUUCACAUGUAUCCCAUCAUCUACAAUUUCUCCCUAACUCCCCUAAGAACUGAACAGAAUAUAACUUCACACAGGAAAAUCCAUGGAACUGGAGAUGAUCAUGUUAAAUCAUCAUACGUGGAAUUCUAUAAAGACAAGGAAGUAGAGGGGAAGCGUCUUGGGAAGACAGCAAGAGCGGACAAUGCAGGUGAAUCUGAGCAAAGCCCAUUGCAUCUAUGAAUAAAAAUGUCACAGUGCAUUCAUUAUUUGUAUAAUACAUAUGUGCU
rnacentral:lncRNA from 1 species